GACGAACGCUGGCGGCGUGCCUAAUACAUGCAAGUCGAACGCAGUGGGUAAGGGUGGGUAACACGUGGGUAACCUCCCAUCAGAGGGGAUACCACUUGGAAACCGGUGCUAAUCCGAUACUGAUGGCUGGACCGGCGGUGGAUUAGCUAGUUGGUGAGGUAACGUCUCACCGAUGCCACGUUGCAUAGCCGACCUGAGAGGUGGAUCGGGCAACCUGGGACUGAGACACGGCCCAGAUUCCUACGGGAGGCAGCAUGAGGGAAUUUUGGACAAUGGGCGAAAGUCUGACCGAGCCACGCCGGGUGAAAGAAAAAGGCUUUCGGGUUGUAAAACUCUGUGGGUAAGGAAGCGGUAUCUAACCAGAAAGCCACGGCUAACUACGUGCCAGCCGCCGCGGUAAUAC
rnacentral:rRNA from 1 species